GGCUGCCUUACCAUGCAAGUCGAACGGUAGAGUAGCAAUACUUGAGAGUGGCGAACGGGUGAGUAAUAUAUCGGAACGUGCCCAAUCGUGGGGGAUAACGUAAAGAAAUUUACGCUAAUACCGCAUACGAUCUAAGGAUGAAAGCGGGGGACUCGGCAACGAGCCUCGCGCGAUUGGAGCGGCUGAUAUCAAAUUAGCUUGUUGGUGAGGUAAAAGCUCACCAAGGCGACAAUCUGUAGCUGGUUUGAAAGAACGACCAGCCACACUGGGACUGAGACACGGCCCAAACUCCUACGGGAGGCAGCAGUGGGGAAUUUUGGACAAUGGGCGAAAGCCUGAUCCAGCAAUGCCGCGUGUGGGAAGAAGGCCUUCGGGUUGUAAACCACUUUUGUACGGAACGAAACGGUCUGCCCUAAUACGGUGGGCUAAUGACGGUACCGUAAGAAUAAGCACCGGCUAACUACGUGCCAGCAGCCGCGGUAAUACGUAGGGUGCGAGCGUUAAUCGGAAUUACUGGGCGUAAAGCGUGCGCAGGCGGUUAUAUAAGACAGUUGUGAAAUCCCCGGGCUCAACCUGGGAAUUGCAUCUGUGACUGUAUAGCUAGAGUACGGUAGAGGGGGAUGGAAUUCCGCGUGUAGCAGUGAAAUGCGUAGAUAUGCG
rnacentral:rRNA from 1 species